CAGCAGCCGCGGUAAUACGUAGGUGGCAAGCGUUGUCCGGAAUUAUUGGGCGUAAAGGGCUCGCAGACGGUUUCUUAAGUCUGAUGUGAAAGCCCCCGGCUCAACCGGGGAGGGUCAUUGGAAACUGGGAAACUUGAGUGCAGAAGAGGAGAGUGGAAUUCCACGUGUAGCGGUGAAAUGCGUAGAGAUGUGGAGGAACACCAGUGGCGAAGGCGACUCUCUGGUCUGUAACUGACGCUGAGGAGCGAAAGCGUGGGGAGCGAACAGGAUUAGAGACCCCAGUAGUCCCUGUCUCUUAUAC
rnacentral:rRNA from 1 species